CCUACGGGUGACAGCAGUGGGGAAUAUUGCACAAUGGGGGGAACCCUGAUGCAGCGACGCCGCGUGGGUGAGGAAGUACUUCGGUAUGUAAAGCCUCAUCAGCAGGGAAGAAAAUGACGGUACCUGACUAAGAAGCCGCGGCUAACUACGUGCCAGCAGCCGUGGUUAUAUGUAGGGGGCAAGCGUUAUCCGGAUUUACUGGGGGUAAAGGGAGCGUAGACGGCGUGCCAAGUCUGGUGUGAAAGGCCGGGGCUCAACCCCGGGACUGCAUUGGAAACUGGCAUGCUGGAGUGCCGGAGGGGCAAGCGGAAUUCCUGGUGUAGCGGUGAAAUGCGUAGAUAUUAGGAAGAACACCGAUUGCGAAGGCAGCUUGCUGGACGGUAACUGACGUUGAGGCUCGAAAGCGUGGGGAUCAAACAGGAUUAGAUACCCUUGUAGUC
rnacentral:rRNA from 1 species